UACGAAGGGGGCUAGCGUUGCUCGGAAUCACUGGGCGUAAAGCGCACGUAGGCGGAUUCUUAAGUCGGUGGUGAAAGCCUGGAGCUCAACUCCAGAACUGCCUUCGAUACUGAGAGUCUUGAGUCCGGGAGAGGUGAGUGGAACUGCGAGUGUAGAGGUGAAAUUCGUAGAUAUUCGCAAGAACACCAGUGGCGAAGGCGGCUCACUGGACCGGUACUGACGCUGAUGCGCGAAAGCGUGGGGAGCAAACAGG
rnacentral:rRNA from 1 species